rnacentral:rRNA from 1 species
GACGAACGCUGGCGGCGUGCCUAAUACAUGCCAGUAGAACGCUGAAGGAGGAGCUUGCUCUUCUGGAUGAGUUGCGAACGGGUGAGUAACGCGUAGGUAACCUGCCUGGUAGCGGAGGAUAACUAUUGGAAACGAUAGCUAAUACCGCAUAACAGUAGAUGUUGCAUGACAUUUGCUUAAAAGGUGCAAUUGCACCACUACCAGAUGGACCUGCGUUGUAUUAGCUAGUUGGUGGGGUAACGGCUCACCAAGGCGACGAUACAUAGCCGACCUGAGAGGGUGAUCGGCCACACUGGGACUGAGACACGGCCCAGACUCCUACGGGAGGCAGCAGUAGGGAAUCUUCGGCAAUGGACGGAAGUCUGACCGAGCAACGCCGCGUGAGUGAAGAAGGGUUUCGGAUCGUAAAGCUCUGUUGUAAGAGAAGAACGAGUGUGAGAGUGGAAAGUUCACACUGUGACGGUAUCUUACCAGAAAGGGACGGCUAACUACGUG